CGGACGGGUGAGUAACACGUGGAUAACCUACCUAUAAGACUGGGAUAACUUCGGGAAACCGGAGCUAAUACCGGAUAAUAUAUUGAACCGCAUGGUUCAAUAGUGAAAGACGGUUUUGCUGUCACUUAUAGAUGGAUCCGCGCCGCAUUAGCUAGUUGGUAAGGUAACGGCUUACCAAGGCAGCGAUGCGUAGCCGACCUGAGAGGGUGAUCGGCCACACUGGAACUGAGACACGGUCCAGACUCCACGGGAGGCAGCAGAC
rnacentral:rRNA from 1 species